rnacentral:rRNA from 1 species
GAUGAACGCUGGCGGCGUGCCUAAUACAUGCAAGUCGAGCGAACGGACGAGAAGCUUGCUUCUCUGAUGUUAGCGGCGGACGGGUGAGUAACACGUGGAUAACCUACCUAUAAGACUGGGAUAACUUCGGGAAACCGUAGCUAAUACCGGAUAAUAUUUUGAACCGCAUGGUUCAAAAGUGAAAGACGGUCUUGCUGUCACUUAUAGAUGGAUCCGCGCUGCAUUAGCUAGUUGGUAAGGUAACGGCUUACCAAGGCAACGAUGCAUAGCCGACCUGAGAGGGUGAUCGGCCACACUGGAACUGAGACACGGUCCAGACUCCUACGGGAGGCAGCAGUAGGGAAUCUUCCGCAAUGGGCGAAAGCCUGACGGAGCAACGCCGCGUGAGUGAUGAAGGUCUUCGGAUCGUAAAACUCUGUUAUUAGGGAAGAACAUAUGUGUAAGUAACUGUGCACAUCUUGACGGUACCUAAUCAGAAAGCCACGGCUAACUACGUGCCAGCAGCCGCGGUAAUACGUAGGUGGCAAGCGUUAUCCGGAAUUAUUGGGCGUAAAGCGCGCGUAGGCGGUUUUUUAAGUCUGAUGUGAAAGCCCACGGCUCAACCGUGGAGGGUCAUUGGAAACUGGAAAACUUGAGUGCAGAAGAGGAAAGUGGAAUUCCAUGUGUAGCGGUGAAAUGCGCAGAGAUAUGGAGGAACACCAGUGGCGAAGGCGACUUUCUGGUCUGUAACUGACGCUGAUGUGCGAAAGCGUGGGGAUCAAACAGGAUUAGAUACCCUGGUAGUCCACGCCGUAAACGAUGAGUGCUAAGUGUUAGGGGGUUUCCGCCCCUUAGUGCUGCAGCUAACGCAUUAAGCACUCCGCCUGGGGAGUACGACCGCAAGGUUGAAACUCAAAGGAAUUGACGGGGACCCGCACAAGCGGUGGAGCAUGUGGUUUAAUUCGAAGCAACGCGAAGAACCUUACCAAAUCUUGACAUCCUUUGACAACUCUAGAGAUAGAGCCUUCCCCUUCGGGGGACAAAGUGACAGGUGGUGCAUGGUUGUCGUCAGCUCGUGUCGUGAGAUGUUGGGUUAAGUCCCGCAACGAGCGCAACCCUUAAGCUUAGUUGCCAUCAUUAAGUUGGGCACUCUAAGUUGACUGCCGGUGACAAACCGGAGGAAGGUGGGGAUGACGUCAAAUCAUCAUGCCCCUUAUGAUUUGGGCUACACACGUGCUGCAAUGGACAAUACAAAGGGCAGCGAAACCGCGAGGCCAAGCAAAUCCCAUAAAGUUGUUCUCAGUUCGGAUUGUAGUCUGCAACUCGACUACAUGAAGCUGGAAUCGCUAGUAAUCGUAGAUCAGCAUGCUACGGUGAAUACGUUCCCGGGUCU